UACGAACGCUGGCGGCGUGCUUAACACAUGCAAGUCGAACGAUGAAGCCGGCGCUUGCUCGGGUGAAUUAGUGGCGAACGGGUGAGUAACACGUGAGUAACCUGCUCUUGACUCUGGGAUAACCGCGGGAAACUGUAGCUAAUACCGGAUACGACCCUCGGAGGCAUCUCCCGUGGGUGGAAAGAAUGUCGGUGAAGGAUGGACUCCAGGCCUAUCAGCUAGUUGGUGAGGUAAAGGCUCACCAAGGGGACGACGGGUAGCCGGCCUGAGAGGGUGACAGGCCACACUGGGACUGAGACACGGCCCAGACUCCUACGGGAGGCAGCAGUGGGGAAUAUUGCACAAUGGGCGCAAGCCGGAUGCAGCAACGCCGCGUGAGGGAUGACGGCCUUCGGGUUGUAAACCUCUUUUAGCAGGGAAGAAGCGAAAGUGACGGUACCUGCAGAAAAAGCACCGGCUAACUACGUGCCAGCCGCCGCCGUAA
rnacentral:rRNA from 1 species